CCAACAGGGACUUUUAUGAUAUUGCAUUAUAAAUACAUAUACAUUAAUAUGUAGUUGAUCCUCCCUUUGCAGCUAUUAUAGGUUCCACUCUUCUGUGAGGGCUUUCCAUAAGAUUUUGGAGUGUUUCUGUGGGGACUUUUUGCCCAUUUAUCCAGUAGAGCAUUUGUGAGGUCAGGCAUUGAUUUUGGACAAGAGGGCCUGGCUUGCAAUCUCCGUUCCAGUUCAUC